rnacentral:rRNA from 1 species
GCGGACGGGUGAGUAAUGCCUAGGAAUCUGCCUAGUGGUGGGGGAUAACGUUCGGAAACGGACGCUAAUACCGCAUACGUCCUACGGGAGAAAGCGGGGGANCUUCGGACCUCGCGCCAUUAGAUGAGCCUAGGUCGGAUUAGCUAGUUGGUGAGGUAAUGGCUCACCAAGGCNACGAUCCGUAACUGGUCUGAGAGGAUGAUCAGUCACACUGGAACUGAGACACGGUCCAGACUCCUACGGGAGGCAGCAGUGGGGAAUAUUGGACAAUGGGCGAAAGCCUGAUCCAGCCAUGCCGCGUGUGUGAAGAAGGUCUUCGGAUUGUAAAGCACUUUAAGNUGGGAGGAAGGGU